rnacentral:rRNA from 1 species
GUGGGGAAUAUUGGACAAUGGGCGCAAGCCUGAUCCAGCCAUGCCGCGUGAGUGAUGAAGGCCUUAGGGUUGUAAAGCUCUUUCAGUAGGGAAGAUAAUGACGGUACCUACAGAAGAAGCCCCGGCUAACUUCGUGCCAGCAGCCGCGGUAAUACGAAGGGGGCUAGCGUUGUUCGGAUUUACUGGGCGUAAAGCGCACGUAGGCGGAUUGUUAAGUCAGAGGUGAAAUCCUGGAGCUCAACUCCAGAACUGCCUUUGAUACUGGCAAUCUCGAGUCCGGAAGAGGUGAGUGGAACUCCUAGUGUAGAGGUGGAAUUCGUAGAUAUUAGGAAGAACACCAGUGGCGAAGGCGGCUCACUGGUCCGGUACUGACGCUGAGGUGCGAAAGCGUGGGGAGCAAACAGGAUUAGAAACCCGUGUAGUCC